rnacentral:rRNA from 1 species
AACGAACGCUGGCGGCAGGCCUAAAACAUGCAAGUCGAACGAUCUAGCAAUAGAUAGUGGCGCACGGGUGAGUAACACGCGGGAAUAUCCCUUUCACUACGGAACAACGUCGGGAAACUGACGCUAAUACCGUAUAAUGUCUCCGGACCAAAGAUUUAUCGGUGAAAGAUUAGCCCGCGUCUGAUUAGCUAGUUGGUGAGGUAACGGCUCACCAAGGCAACGAUCAGUAGCUGGUCUGAGAGGAUGAUCAGCCAUACUGGAACUGAGACACGGUCCAGACUCCUACGGGAGGCAGCAGUUAGGAAUAUUGGACAAUGGGGGCAACCCUGAUCCAGCCAUGCCGCGUGUGUGACGAAGGCCUUAGGGUUGUAAAGCACUUUCGUCUACGAAGAUAAUGACAGUAGUAGAAGAAGAAGCUCCGGCUAAAUUCGUGCCAGCAGCCGCGGUAA